AAUACUAAGGAUAAUUGUUCCAAAUAUGGAAAGGGUUUGCCUCUCAAUCCUGCAGCAUUAGGAUGACUCUGCAACAAAGUUUAUAAAAAAAAUAUUAUAAAGAAUUAAUUGAAAUGCUAUAUUUAAUUAGAAUUUUAAGCAAUUUAUCUUACCCAAGCUUCGAAAAUGAUCUUCUCGCAUCUAAUGUUCAUUUUGUAUCAUUCUACCCAAAGUCAUUUGUAGCAGGUUCUAACAUCUUAGAAAUUGCAUUAUACUGCCUCUUCCGAAGUUUGAAUCUUGAGUCAAUGUGGUGCUCCUUUAAGCUGGCAUCCCGUGAGCCUUUCAUGCAAGUAGUUUUUGAUGGAAUGACACACAGAAGGGCAUUACAUGCGAAAAGAUUGUUUUUGAAUCUUGGGUUAGGGCAAAUUACUUAAAAUUCUAAUUAAAUAUAGCAUUACAUGCCCUUCAUUGUGUCAUUCCACCCGAAACUAUUUGCAUGAGAGGCUCCGGGGAUGCCAACUUAAUGGAGUACCACAUACUGUGUCUCGAAAAAGACAUUAUAAUGCAAUUUCUGAGAUGUUAGGGCUUGCUGCAAGUGGCUUUGGGUGGAGUAAAUACAAAGAAGGGCAUUAGAUGCGAGAAGAUCAUUUUCGAAGCUUGGGUUAAGGAUUGAGAGGCAAAUUCUUUCCAUAUUUGGAGCAAUUAUCGGUAGUAUUUGCGAAAAAAUCGCAGAACUAGUGCUGGCGCAGAAUCUGCUGUUAAUACUACAAGGAACAUCAAAGAGGAAGAGCUAAUGACAUAUCCAUCUUACCCAAGAACCUGAUGCCAAGGUAUUUUUUAUAAAUAAAGUAGUGGUCGAGCAAACACUUCGAACGGUGGCACAUUAGGAAGAUCAAAGAAGUGAAAGUCACCGCUCGGAGAGGAUUCGAUCAAUGAGCAAUUCUGUUCAACCUUGCGCUCGCCUGAAACUUCAUUUAACGAUGCCAAUGAGCACUUAGGUCGGCUUGCUAAUUUAUUUCAAUUCAUGGCAAACAACGAGAACAAGAAAGAGAAGUUCAAAGAGAUACUAAGGAUCGAGCGAUUUGAGGACAGGCAAAUAAUGGAUGCCACUAAAAUUCUAACGAGUGAUUCGACAAAACUACAUAUUUUUUGUAUCUUACAUGGGAUUGAUUGAAGAAAUUGUGUUAUUUGGUUAAUGGACUAGUUGGGUUUAGACUUUGUUGGUUUGUCCUUUUUCAGUUCAAAAAAUUUUAGACUUUUAUAAUAUUGGUGUUCAAGCUUUUACUUUUGAAUGGUAUUAUGAUAUGUAAAAAUUAUGUCUUUA